CGUUUUCUUUAUGCAGGACAUGGGUUUCAGUCUGUUCGACUAAGCGCUUCAGUUCCUCCCCCCUACCCUCUGUUUACCCUAGUAUCUGUCGUGUGUGGCCUGCCACAACAGCGCCUGCAUAAUAUCUAGAGACCUAAAGUUCGUGCUAUUUUGCUUGGGACAAUGUAUAUGUUUAGUACCUUAGUAUGUGAGUGUGUUACUGCUUCCGCAGCGUUGAGAAGUUGAUUGAUAAUUUGCUGGAGUUAUGUUUCUCUCAUGCCUUGGUGUUUGCGGUCGUGAUAGUGCACAUGGACUUUUGAUGUUCUUAAUGGUUUAUCUGGUGAAAGGAUCUUGAUUUUCUCUAUGAUUGAAUGGGUUUUCUCUGGGAUCGAAUGCUCUUUCU
rnacentral:lncRNA from 1 species